GUCCACGCUGUAAACGAUGAUUGCUAGUUGUCGGGCGGCAUGCCGUUCGGUGACGCAGCUAACGCAUUAAGCAAUCCGCCUGGGGAGUACGGUCGCAAGAUUAAAACUCAAAGGAAUUGACGGGGGCCCCGCACAAGCGGUGGAGCAUGUGGUUUAAUUCGAAGCAACGCGCAGAACCUUACCACCUUUUGACAUGUCCGGCUAACCUCAGAGAUGAGGUGUUCACUUCGGUGACCGGAACACAGGUGCUGCAUGGCUGUCGU
rnacentral:rRNA from 1 species